CUCCUUCUCUCCAGAAGAAAAAAAAACACGUUCCCAAAUCCUGAAAUCCCCCACACUCCCAGCAACCACCCCAACCCCUCGUGCGCGCCAACCGCCGGCCAUGGAGGACGCGGCGGCGGCGGCCGUCCCCGGAGCGCACGCGUCGGCGAGCCGCCGAUCCGACGACCGGCAGGUGCCGCUGUGGAGUCCCGGCCCCCGGGAGCAGCAGAGAAGCCCCGACGAUCUCAUCAGCCACCUCCCCGACGACGUCCUCGGCGCCGUCGUCUCGCUCCUCCCCACCAAGGACGGCGCGCGCACGCAGGUCCUCUCGCGCCGGUGGCGCCCCCUCUGGCGCUCGUCCGCGGCGCCGCUCAACCUGUCGAUCGACCGCCGCUUCUGCGCGGGCGACGCCCGCAAGCACGCCGCCGUCGUCUCCCGGAUCCUCUCCGACCACCCCGGCCCCGCCCGCCAGUUCUCGCUCCGCCAGGCCUUCCCGCCGGGCCAGAUCGACCGCUGGCUCCGCGCCGGAUCGCUCGCCCGCCUGCAGGAGCUCGAAAUCGCCUACACCAAGGUGCACGGGGACGUAUGCCACCCGAUGCCGCCGUCCGCGCUCUGCUUUGCGCCGACGCUCCGCGCGGCCAAGUUCGGCAGCUGUGAGUUCCCCGAGCUGACCGCGCCGUCGCCGAAAUUUCCGCGCCUCAAGCAGCUCACCCUGUGCCGCGUCAGCAUCUCGGAGGACUCUCUCCACGGCAUGCUCUCUGGCUGCAUUGCCUUGGAAAGCCUUUCGCUGGACCGGAACAUCGGCAUCGGUCGCCUCUGCAUCAGCUCACCGACGGUUAGGCGCUUCAGCUUCUCGCCUCAUCGGGACAAACAAGGUAUCGUCACUUGCCAAGAGCUGCUCGUCCAGGACGUCCCACGCCUUGAGAGGUUAAUACUACAUGAUUCACACAUUGGUCCGGCGACCAUCCGGAUAACCGGGGCACCUAAACUGGAGCUGUUGGGGUUGUUGUCUCAUGGCAUAUCUACACUCAAGCCUGGAACCACAGUUCUCCAGAAAACGAUUGAUGUCAGCUUGACAACCAUAAUGCAUAAAGUGAAGAUUUUGGUUGUUGACUCUAUUGGUCCCAAUCUAGAUGCAAUUGUUGGCCUACUCAAGUGCUUCACUUUCUUAGAGAGGCUAUAUGUCAUUUCGCACCCACAGGAGGAUAUGAAUAAUGUGCGCAAGUAUGACCCACUGGAUCCAAUUGAAUGCCUAGAACUCCAUCUAAAAAAAGUGGUAUUGAAGAAUUACGAUGGUAACCGGACGCAAGUUAUUCACUUUGCCCAGUUCUUUGUUUUGAAUGCAAAAGUGCUUAAGGAAAUGGAAAUUGGAGUUGUCAACCGCUGCAACAGCAAAUGGAUGCGUUUUCAGCGUAAACGGUUGCAAGUGCAGAAUAGAGCUUCUCGAGAUGCACAGAUUGAACUAAAAUGGGAUACAAAGAAGAGCUUCAAAUACCAUGGUUUUUCCGAGGCUGAUCCCUUUGACAUGUCCUCAUGUUGACACUUGAUACGGUUGUGUUAGCAAUGGAAUGCUUUCUUGCGCACUCUGGAGCAUACCAGGAUUUAGGAGGUUGCGCAGCAGCUCAAGAUUCCAGUCCAAACUUGUGAUGUAUAAGAUGUUAGAGGGUUACUAGGAUUCGUGUGUCCUGUUUAGUUGCUUGGAUUUUCUCUCCUGAUUGGUGUCAUAUUGUAAGCUGGUAGCACCUACAAGCUCCAGCUAAUAUAUUUGUGUAAUUACCACUUGCUUUAAUGAAAUCCCGAAUGCACUUUUAUUAUUUUA
rnacentral:rRNA from 1 species